AAUAGAAACACAAUAGCAAAACGAAAACAGGGAGGAAGGAAAAAAAAAGAAAGGGAAGGAAAGAAGGAAAAUUUAGGGUUUCAAGGUUCAAAGUUAAUUUGCUAAUGUCGUGCAAGAGUCAUUGUUCGAGAAAGGAAAGGAGAAGGUGGACAAGGUGAUUCGAGAAAAUUUCGGUUAGUAGAAAACCAGUGUUUGGUCCAGCAUCCAGAGCAAUCUCGACCUCAGAGAAAUUUUAGUGAUGUACCUUUCUUUUGAUAACGUGGCAUGUACCUAAGUGAUGUAUAGGUUUAAGUAUAAGAGUUUUGUGCUUGUGGUUGUAGAAUGAUGUUUAAAUUGGUUAUAAGUAUGAAAUGGAACUAAUAUGACAUAUUUGAUACAA